UUUUGAGAGUACUUGGAAAUCAAGUAGAACUUUCGUUUACCCAUCAACAGAAUUUCAGGAAAGUUGAUAUGUUUUUUGGUAUUAGUAGUUUUUCCUCUAAAGAAAUUUGUGAUCAUCUGGUAGCUGUUUAUUUUUAUGGUGUUGACCUGAACUUGUAGAGGUGUGUUAAAACUGAAAAGGAGGAUCGUAUAUUUGGAGGCUCCAGAAACAUUUGAUGACGUUACCGUUAGAUUUUAUGAAGAGGAGAGGAAAGUGUUAACUAUACAGCAGAAGGAAUUGUGGUACAGAAUUAUGAAACCAUGACUUCGUUAGGUGCAGGAUGCAGUAGCUCAGCAGAAUGUGAACAUUUGAGACUGAAUAUUGUACAGCUGUCUGAUGAUGAUGAUGAUGUAAAUGAAGAAGUGAUUACAUUCCCUCUUAAUAUCAAGGAAGAAAUUCCAGAAACCCUCAGUGAUGUAAAGCAAGAAGUGACCAUAAAGCAGGAGAAAGAUCUGGAAGACUUUCCAG